rnacentral:rRNA from 1 species
UGCGUAGUCGGUAUUGAGAGUCACGGGUGAAAUCCCAGGGCUUAACCCUGGAACUGCCUGUGAGACCUCAGUACUAGAGUGUGAGAGGGGAUAGUGGAAUACCCAGUGUAGCGGUGAAAUGCGUAGAGAUUGGGUGGAACACCGGUGGCGAAGGCGGCUAUCUGGCUCACAACUGACGAUCAGGCACGAAAGCGUGGGGAGCAAACA